AAUCUUGCGCAAUGCGCGAAAGCGUGACGCAGCAACGCCGCGUGGGGGAAGAAGGCCUUCGGGUUGUAAACCCCUUUCAGUUGGGACGAAGGCCUCGCGGUUAAUAGCCGUGGGGGUUGACGGUACCUUCAGAAGAAGCCCCGGCUAACUACGUGCCAGCAGCCGCGGUAAUACGGAGGGUGCGAGCGUUGUCCGGAAUCACUGGGCGUAAAGGGCGCGUAGGCGGCCGAGCAAGGUCGCGGUGAAAGCCCGGGGCUCAACCCCGGGUCGGCCGUGGCAACUACUCGGCUCGAGCUCUGUAGGGGCGGGUGGAAUUCCGGGUGUAGCGGUGGAAUGCGUAGAGAUCCGGAAGAACACCGGUGGCGAAGGCGGCCCGCUGGGCAGGAAGGUGGAGCAAUCCACCGGCUGACGCUGAGGCGCGACAGCGUGGGGAGCAAAC
rnacentral:rRNA from 1 species